UUCGAUGAUACGCGAGGAACCUUACCCGGGCUCGAACGGCAGAGGAACAAUCCAGAGAUGGUGCGGCCCUUCGGGGCUUCUGUCGAGGUGCUGCAUGGUUGUCGUCAGCUCGUGCCGUGAGGUGUCGGCUUAAGUGCCAUAACGAGCGCAACCCUUGCCAUUAGUUACCAGCAUGUUGAGAUGGGGACUCUAGUGGGACUGCCACCGCAAGGUGAGAGGAAGGGGGGGAUGACGUCAAAUCAGCACGGCCCUUACGUCCGGGGCGACACACGUGUUACAAUGGGAGUUACAGAGGGGCACUACCUGGUGACAGGAUGGGAAUCUCGAAAAGCUCUCUCAGUCCGGAUCGGAGUCUGCAACCCGACUCCGUGAAGCUGGAUUCGCUAGUAAUCGCGCAUCAGCCAUGGCGCGGUGAAUACGUUCCCGGGCCUUGUACACACCGCCCGUCAAGCCAUGAAAGUCUGGGGCGCCUGAAGUUCGUGACCGCGAGGAGCGACCUAGGGCGAAACAGGUAAUUGGGGCU
rnacentral:rRNA from 1 species